rnacentral:lncRNA from 1 species
GACCUGUGUGUUCCCUGCCAGGGUGGAUUGCAUCUUCAAACUGCCCAGAGCUUUUGGACAACCGAACACACACAGGAUGGAUGCUAGCAUGGAGACACUCCAAGGAGCCUCUUUCCACCAUCUUCAUCCUUGAACAUCCAUCUCCCUGUGGGUUGCAAACACAAACAGGCCAAGUGGUGCCCCUGUCAGUCACUCACGGCUCUCUGGAGCUGAAGAUCAAGCCUCGCCUCGUUUGCUUUGUCAUCUACAUUUUUGUGCAGACAAGUUUUGAACAGGCUCUGUGGCGUUCACUCCAGUCCCAGCCAUUCCUUGGGAUGAAUAGACAUUUGAUAAUGCCUGGAAGGACAGUUGAAACAUUCCAUCUGACGGACCUCAACUUUUCCUGAACAGAGCAUCUCAGAGCUGUGGACUUCCCAUCAGUCCACGAGCACUGUGCUUUAAUAAAAAAUGAAAACCAGUAAAUACAAACAGCAGGAAAACUG